CAGUCGCCACGGGAAUACGAGGGGGGCAAGCGUUGUUCGGAAUUAUUGGGCGUAAAGGGUGCGUAGGCGGUUUGGCAAGUUUGGUGUGAAAUCUUCGGGCUCAACUCGAAGUCUGCAUCGAAAACUGCCGGGCUUGAGUAUGGGAGAGGUGAGUGGAAUUUCCGGUGUAGCGGUGAAAUGCGUAGAUAUCGGAAGGAACACCUGUGGCGAAAGCGGCUCACUGGACCAUAACUGACGCUGAUGCACGAAAGCUAGGGGAGCAAACAGGAUUAGAUACCCCCGUAGUCCCUGUCUCUUAUAC
rnacentral:rRNA from 1 species